CAGAUAUUAGUUUAAGUUAAAAUUUUAAUUUUGGAGAUUAAUGAUGAGAGGGUUUUUAUAUCUGA
rnacentral:tRNA from 1 species